GGCGACGUAGCCAAGCGGCAAGGCAGGGGUCUGCAAAACCCUUAUUCGUCGGUUCGAUUCCGACCGUCGCCU
rnacentral:tRNA from 1 species